rnacentral:rRNA from 1 species
UACGUAGGGUGCGAGCGUUGUCCGGAAUUAUUGGGCGUAAAGAGCUUGUAGGCGGUUUGUCGCGUCUGCUGUGAAAACCCGCGGCUUAACUGCGGGCUUGCAGUUGAUACGGGCAGGCUAGAGUUCGGUAGGGGAGACUGGAAUUCCUGGUGUAGCGGUGAAAUGCGCAGAUAUCAGGAGGAACACCGGUGGCGAAGGCGGGUCUCUGGGCCGAUGACUGACGCUGAGGAGCGAAAGCGUGGGGAGCGAACAGG